UACAGGGGGUGCAAACGUUGCUCGGAAUCAUUGGGCGUAAAGCGCACGUAGGCGGUUCGUUAUGUCGGAUGUGAAAGCCCUUGGCUUAACCGAGGAAGUGCAUCCGAAACUGGCGAGCUAGAGUACUAAAGAGGAUCGCGGAAUUCCCGGUGUAGAGGUGAAAUGCGCAGAUAUCAGGAAGAACACCCGUGGCUAAGGCGGCUCUCUAGUACGGUACUGACGCUGAGACGCGAAAGCGUGGGGAGCGAACAGG
rnacentral:rRNA from 1 species